UACGAAGGGGGCUAGCGUUGCUCGGAAUUACUGGGCGUAAAGCGCACGUAGGCGGCUUCUUAAGUCGGUGGUGAAAUCCUGGAGCUCAACUCCAGAACUGCCUUCGAUACUGGGAAGCUCGAGUCCGGGAGAGGUGAGUGGAACUGCGAGUGUAGAGGUGAAAUUCGUAGAUAUUCGCAAGAACACCAGGGGCGAAGGCGGCUCACGGGCCCGGUACUGACGCGGAGGUGCGAAAGCUAGGGGAGCAAACAGG
rnacentral:rRNA from 1 species